GAGGGAAAGGUGAAAAGAACCCCGGGAGGGGAGUGAAAUAGAACCUGAAACCGUAUGUCUACAAGCAGUCGAAGCACCUUAAGAGUGCGACGGCGUGCCUAUUGAAGAAUGAACCGGCGAGUUACAUUAUGUUGCGAGGUUAAGUGGGAGACACGGAGCCGAAGCGAAAGCGAGUCUUAAUAGGGCGACUAGUAACAUGGUGUAGACCCGAAACCGCAGUGAUCUAUCCAUGGUCAGGUUGAAGCGCAGGUAAAAAUGCGUGGAGGACCGAACCCGUGAGUGUUGAAAAACUUUGGGAUGAACCGUGGAUAGGGGUGAAAUGCCAAUCGAACGCGGAGAUAGCUGGUACUCCCCGAAAUAGCUUUAGGGCUAGCCUCAGGGAAGAUUAUAGACGGUAGAGCACUGAUCUGGCAAGGGGGCGUAAAGCCUACCGACCCUAGUCAAACUUCGAAUGGCUAUAAUUAAGACCCUGGGAGUCAGACUGCGAGUGAUAAGACCCGUAGUCAAGAGGGAAACAGCCCAGACCGCCGACUAAGGUCCCCAAUGCUGUACUAAGUGGAAAAGGAUGUAAGACUUCAUAAACAACCAGGAUGUUGGCUUAGAAGCAGCCACCAUUAAAAGAGUGCGUAAUAGCUCACUGGUCGAGAGGCCUUGCGCCGAAGAUGUCCGGGGCUCAAGUACAGAACCGAAGUCGCGGCAGGAUUAUAUAAUUCUGGGUAGGGGAGCGUUGUAUAUCCGACUGAAGGUGUACCGGAAGGAGCGCUGGAGGAUAUACAAGAGAGAAUGCCGGUAUGAGUAGCGAAAAGAACAGUGAGAAUCUGUUCCACCGAAAGCCUAAGGUUUCCUGAGCAACGCUCGUCGACUCAGGGUAAGUCGGGACCUAAGCCGAGGCAAAAAGCAUAGGCGAUGGACAACAGGUUAAUAUUCCUGUACCGCUUCAAAUCGUUUGAGCAAUGGAGUGACACAGAAGGUAGCUUGAGCACGUGAAUGGAUGUGCGUGUCGAAGGUGGUAGGUUGCAGUAUAGGCAAAUCCGUACUGUAUAAGACCGAGAACUGAUAGAUAGACGAUACUUCGGUAAAGUCAAAUUCAAGUGAGCCAUGCUGUCGAGAAAAGCUUCUAGUGAGAGAUGAGGCGCCCGUACCGAAACCGACACAGGUAGGCGGGGAGAGAAUCCUAAGGUGCGCGGGACAACCCUCGUUAAGGAACUCGGCAAAUUGUAUCCGUAACUUAGGGAUAAGGAUAGCCGGAGGAUGUGAAGGGAUUUACUUCUGGAGCGUCAGCCGGUGGCACAAGAGAGGCCCAAGCGACUGUUUAGCACAAACACAGGUGCCUGCAAAAGAGAAAUCUGACGUAUAGGUGCUGACACCUGCCCGGUGCUGGAAGGUUAAGAGGAGGGCUUAGAGGCAACUCGAAGGCUUGAAUUGAAGCCCCAGUAAACGGCGGCCGUAACUAUAACGGUCCUAAGGUAGCGAAAUUCCUUGUCGGGUAAGUUCCGACCCGCACGAAAGGUGUAACGACUUGGGCACUGUCUCAACGAGGGACCCGGUGAAAUUGAAGUACCUGUGAAGAUGCAGGUUACCCGCGACUGGACAGAAAGACCCCAUGGAGCUUUACUGCAACCUGACAUUGAUGUUCGGUAAAUAACGUACAGGAUAGGUGGGAGACGGAGAAGUAUUGGCGUUAGCUGAUAUGGAGUCAACCUUGGGAUACCACCCUUUAUUUAUUGGACCUCUAACUGAAGAAGUAACGACUCUCAGGACAGUAUCAGGCGGGCAGUUUGACUGGGGCGGUCGCCUCCCAAAAUGUAACGGAGGCGCCCAAAGGUUCCCUCAGCGCGAACGGAAACCGCGCAAAGAGUGUAAAGGCAGAAGGGAGCUUGACUGCGAGUCAGACACGACGAGCAGGUACGAAAGUAGGGCUUAGUGAUCCGGUGGUUCCGAGUGGAAGGGCCAUCGCUCAACGGAUAAAAGCUACCCUGGGGAUAACAGGCUAAUCUCUCCCAAGAGUCCAUAUCGACGGGGAGGUUUGGCACCUCGAUGUCGGCUCAUCACAUCCUGGGGCUGAAGUCGGUCCCAAGGGUUGGGCUGUUCGCCCAUUAAAGUGGUACGUGAGCUGGGUUCAGAACGUCGUGAGACAGUUCGGUCCAUAUCCAUCGCGGGCGUAAGAGACUUGAAGGGGGCUGCUCCUAGUACGAGAGGACCGGAGUGGACGGACCAAUGGUGUACCAAUUAUCCCGCCAGGGGUACAGUUGGGUAGCUACGUCCGGAAAAGAUAAACGCUGAAAGCAUCUAAGCGUGAAACUUGCCUUAAGAUGAGGUCUCCCGAAGCGAAAGCUUGA
rnacentral:rRNA from 1 species